rnacentral:rRNA from 1 species
UACGUAGGUGGCAAGCGUUGUCCGGAUUUAUUGGGUUUAAAGGGUGCGUAGGCGGUUUCAUAAGGCAGUGGUGAAAUACGGCAGCUCAACUGUCGAGGUGCCAUUGAUACUGUGAGACUUGAGUACAGACGAGGUAGGCGGAAUUGACGGUGUAGCGGUGAAAUGCUUAGAUAUCGUCAAGAACACCGAUAGCGAAGGCAGCUUACUAGGCUGUAACUGACGCUGAGGCACGAAAGUGUGGGGAUCAAACAGG